AAAAAAGGUAAGCUACUAAGAGCGAAUGGUGGAUGCCUUGACUGGUAAAGGCGAUGAAGGACGUACUAGACUGCGAUAAGCUACGGGGAGCUGUCAAGAAGCUUUGAUCCGUAGAUUUCCGAAUGGGGCAACCCAAUGUAUAGAGAUAUACAUUACCUAUAUAGGAGCGAACGAGGGGAAUUGAAACAUCUUAGUACCCUCAGGAAAAGAAAUCAAUAGAGAUUGCGUCAGUAGCGGCGAGCGAAAGCGCAAGAGGGCAAACCCAGUGCUUGCACUGGGGGUUGUAGGACUGCAAUGUGCAAGAGGUAAGUUUAGCAGAACAUUCUGGAAAGUAUAGCCAUAGAGGGUGAUAGUCCCGUAUGCGAAAAACAAACCUUAGCUAGCAGUAUCCUGAGUAGGGCGGGACACGAGGAAUCCUGUCUGAAUCCGGGUCGACCACGAUCCAACCCUAAAUACUAAUACCAGAUCGAUAGUGCACAAGUACCGUGAGGGAAAGGUGAAAAGAACUGAGGUGAUCAGAGUGAAAUAGAACCUGAAACCAUUUGCUUACAAUCAUUCAGAGCCCUAUGUAGCAAUACAGGGUGAUGGACUGCCUUUUGCAUAAUGAGCCUGCGAGUUGUGGUGUCUGGCAAGGUUAAGCAAACGCGAAGCCGUAGCGAAAGCGAGUCUGAAUAGGGCGCUUAGUCAGAUGCUGCAGACCCGAAACGAAGUGAUCUAUCCAUGAGCAAGUUGAAGCUAGUGUAAGAACUAGUGGAGGACUGAACCCAUAGGCGUUGAAAAGCCCCGGGAUGACUUGUGGAUAGGGGUGAAAGGCCAAUCAAACUUCGUGAUAGCUGGUUCUCUCCGAAAUAUAUUUAGGUAUAGCGUUGUGUCGUAAUAUAAGGGGGUAGAGCACUGAAUGGGCUAGGGCAUACACCAAUGUACCAAACCCUAUCAAACUCCGAAUACCUUAUAUGUAAUCACAGCAGUCAGGCGGCGAGUGAUAAAAUCCGUCGUCAAGAGGGAAACAACCCAGACUACCAGCUAAGGUCCCUAAGUCUUACUUAAGUGGAAAACGAUGUGAAGUUACUUAAACAACCAGGAGGUUGGCUUAGAAGCAGCCAUCCUUUAAAGAAAGCGUAAUAGCUCACUGGUCUAGUGAUUUUGCGCGGAAAAUAUAACGGGGCUAAAGUAAGUACCGAAGCUGUAGACUUGCACACAACUUAGAUUAUUUAAGUUUAGAAUAUGAGAAACUAAGUUAUAUGUUUAGUUAUAUUUUUACUGAUUUUUAUAGAGUAAAGAUAGAAAUAAAACUUAGUAAAAUCAGUAAAAAUAUUCUUAGGCUAAAGUUAAGUAGUUUAAGUUGUGUGCAAGUGGUAGGAGAGCGUUCUAUUUGCGUCGAAGGUAUACCGGUAAGGAGUGCUGGAGCGAAUAGAAGUGAGCAUGCAGGCAUGAGUAGCGAUAAUUAAUGUGAGAAUCAUUAACGCCGUAAACCCAAGGUUUCCUACGCGAUGCUCGUCAUCGUAGGGUUAGUCGGGUCCUAAGUCGAGUCCGAAAGGGGUAGACGAUGGCAAAUUGGUUAAUAUUCCAAUACCAACAUUAGUGUGCGAUGGAAGGACGCUUAGGGCUAAGGGGGCUAGCGGAUGGAAGUGCUAGUCUAAGGUCGUAGGAGGUUAUACAGGCAAAUCCGUAUAACAAUACUCCGAGAACUGAAAGGCUUUUUGAAGUCUUCGGAUGGAUAGAAGAACCCCUGAUGCCGUCGAGCCAAGAAAAGUUUCUAAGUUUAGCUAAUGUUGCCCGUACCGUAAACCGACACAGGUGGGUGGGAUGAGUAUUCUAAGGCGCGUGGAAGAACUCUCUUUAAGGAACUCUGCAAAAUAGCACCGUAUCUUCGGUAUAAGGUGUGGUUAGCUUCGUACUAGGAUUUACUCCGAAAGCGAAGAAACUUACAACAAAGAGUCCCUCCCGACUGUUUACCAAAAACACAGCACUCUGCUAACUCGUAAGAGGAUGUAUAGGGUGUGACGCCUGCCCGGUGCUCGAAGGUUAAUUGAUGGGGUUAGCAUUAGCGAAGCUCUUGAUCGAAGCCCGAGUAAACGGCGGCCGUAACUAUAACGGUCCUAAGGUAGCGAAAUUCCUUGUCGGUUAAAUACCGACCUGCAUGAAUGGCGUAACGAGAUGGGAGCUGUCUCAAAGAGGGAUCCAGUGAAAUUGUAGUGGAGGUGAAAAUUCCUCCUACCCGCGGCAAGACGGAAAGACCCCGUGGACCUUUACUACAGCUUGACACUGCUACUUGGAUAAGAAUGUGCAGGAUAGGUGGGAGGCUUUGAGUAUAUGACGCCAGUUGUAUAUGAGCCAUUGUUGAGAUACCACUCUUUCUUAUUUGGGUAGCUAACCAGCUUGAGUUAUCCUCAAGUGGGACAAUGUCUGGUGGGUAGUUUGACUGGGGCGGUCGCCUCCCAAAUAAUAACGGAGGCUUACAAAGGUUGGCUCAGAACGGUUGGAAAUCGUUCGUAGAGUAUAAAGGUAUAAGCCAGCUUAACUGCAAGACAUACAAGUCAAGCAGAGACGAAAGUCGGUCUUAGUGAUCCGGUGGUUCUGUGUGGAAGGGCCAUCGCUCAAAGGAUAAAAGGUACCCCGGGGAUAACAGGCUGAUCUCCCCCAAGAGCUCACAUCGACGGGGAGGUUUGGCACCUCGAUGUCGGCUCAUCGCAUCCUGGGGCUGGAGCAGGUCCCAAGGGUAUGGCUGUUCGCCAUUUAAAGCGGUACGCGAGCUGGGUUCAGAACGUCGUGAGACAGUUCGGUCCCUAUCUGCCGUGGGCGUAAGAAGAUUGAAGAGAUUUGACCCUAGUACGAGAGGACCGGGUUGAACAAACCACUGGUGUAGCUGUUGUUCUGCCAAGAGCAUCGCAGCGUAGCUAAGUUUGGAAAGGAUAAACGCUGAAAGCAUCUAAGCGUGAAGCCAACUCUAAGAUGAAUCUUCUCUAAGCUCUCUAGAAGACUACUAGUUUGAUAGGCUGGGUGUGUAAUGGAUGAAAGUCCUUUAGCUGACCAGUACUAAUAGAGCGUUUGGCUUAUCUUUAAUAAAGCAU
rnacentral:rRNA from 1 species